CAGACAGACCUGAGAGAAGCAAGGCUGCAGAGAAACUGUAGCCAUCACCAAACAACAAAUCAAAGGGAAGUGUCUCAGGAGAGAUUUCUAAUUAUCAUACAUUUGUCCUUGCAGCCAAACCAGGAUGCAGUGGAAAUGGUGCCUUUGGCACUAGCAUCUUAGGUCACAAAAUCAAGUUCCAGAGCUUGCUGACAGAUAGGGGGUGAUUAAAAAUUCUCAUCGUGCCCAUGUGCCUUGUGCCCUCUCCUUUGUCAUUCUGCAGUUGGGUAUCAAAGCUGUAGCAUCUAUGUUCUUUGAAGACUAAGCAAUGUCAGAAUGAGUUCUUGGCCUUGGCUGUUGAGGACAGAACAUCCUGAGCCAAAUGGGACAGUUGCUGAGUGAGGACACCAAACCUAUUCUUAGGACUGAUCUGAAGGAGGAGAGAGAGAUGAUGGGAGAUGAAGGGUAUGGGAGUGUAUGCUACGGCUACCUGCUGUCAAAGUUCUCGACCUCCCAAAUGUCCACAUAGAUAGUAUCAACCCUCAAUGCAAAUUAUAAGAAUGUUAUCUUAAAAUGUAAUAAAAAGUGACCAAGCUGAUCUAAACCCCACGUCCAGAGAGGAUUUAAGUUGCUGGAAUAGUCCACCCAGUCUUCCAGAUGGGAUUAUAUAAUUGAUGGUAUGUGGAUAUCACUGAUCACAAAACACAAUAAAGGACCUAAGGCAACAUCUUUGUUCUUU
rnacentral:lncRNA from 1 species